UACGAAGGGGGCUAGCGUUGUUCGGAUUUACUGGGCGUAAAGCGCACGUAGGCGGAUCGUUAAGUCGGGGGUGAAAUCCUGGAGCUCAACUCCAGAACUGCCUUCGAUACUGGCGAUCUCGAGUCCGGAAGAGGUGAGUGGAACUCCUAGUGUAGAGGUGGAAUUCGUAGAUAUUAGGAAGAACACCGGUGGCGAAGGCGGCCCACUGGUCCGGUACUGACGCUGAGGUGCGAAAGCGUGGGGAGCAAACAGG
rnacentral:rRNA from 1 species